AUCAGCAUACAGUGGGCAGACUCUACUUAACUGUGAGUUCUGUAGAAGAGUGUGUAUGUCUUAGUCUAUUUUGUGUCACUAUAAGAUAAUUUCACAGACUGGAUAAUUUAUAAAUAAAAUAAAUGUAUGCCUCACAGUCUGGAGGCUGGGAAGUCCAGCAUCAAGUUGCCAGGAUCUGGUGAGGGCCUUCAUGCUGUGUCUUCCAAUGGAGGAAGGCAGCAGGAGAACAUGCACUCCAGAUAGCAAGAGAGCAAGAGUGGGUAGAACUCACUUUUUCAACAAUCUCACUGUCGAGAUAACUAACCCAUUCCCAUGGCAAUGACAUUUAUCCAUUCAUAAAGGCAGAGCCCUCGUGACCUUAUCAUCUCUUAUUAGGCCCCAUCU
rnacentral:lncRNA from 1 species